UGGGGAAUAUUGCGCAAUGGGCGAAAGCCUGACGCAGCGACGCCGCGUGAGGGAUGAAGGUUUUCGGAUCGUAAACCUCUGUCAGAAGGGAAGAAACCGCACUGUUCUAAUCAGCAGUGCCUUGACGGUACCUUCAAAGGAAGCACCGGCUAACUCCGUGCCAGCAGCCGCGGUAAUACGGAGGGUGCAAGCGUUAAUCGGAAUUACUGGGCGUAAAGCGCACGUAGGCUGCUUUGUAAGUCAGGGGUGAAAUCCAACGGCUCAACCGUGGAACUGCCUUUGGUACUGCUUAGCUUGAAUCCGGGAGAGGGUGGCGGAAUUCCAGGUGUAGGAGUGAAAUCCGUAGAUAUCUGGAGGAACAUCAGUGGCGAAGGCGGCCACCUGGACCGGUAUUGACGCUGAGGUGCGAAAGCGUGGGGAGCAAACAGG
rnacentral:rRNA from 1 species